CUUUCCUCUGAGCUGUCACGACAGCACCAACGGUGGCCAGGAGAGUUGAGAGUUAAGAGUGCUGACGCCAAGUUACAGAGCAUGAGACAGGAUCCAGGAUGAUGUGAAGACAGAGCCAAGCUGUCAAACCAAGGUUGGAAACAAGUGCUGAGACCCUCAAGGGAAUCUCAGGAGUUCUGGACCAUUGCGAACCAAGGAGCUGAGCCCUGGCCAUAAAGGGAGGCACUGUGGCUUUUGGGAACAGGCUAUAGCAGAGAGAGGAAGAGAAGGAGAGAAAAUUCAAUGUGAGAGAGAAAUGUUGACUUGGCUGCCCUUUCACACACACCCUGACCCGGUAUCUGGGUACGUGCCCUGACCAGAAUCAAACCUGCUGCCUUUCGGUCUGUGGUAUGACGCUCCAGCCAACUGGGCCACAAAGCCCUUUCUUCCAGAGGCAAAGCGCCAGGACUCCCACCCAGAGCGGUUUGGCACCAAAGCUCAAUCACCUGAUGCUGUCAGAGAAGGCCUCGACACCAAACUUGGAGACACAGUAGCCACCACCAAUGACAGCCACAAGACCACCACAG